AAUAGAUACCCUGGUAGUCCAUGCCGUAAACGUUGGGCACUAGGUGUGGGGGACAUUCCACGUUUUCCGCGCCGUAGCUAACGCAUUAAGUGCCCCGCCUGGGGAGUACGGCCGCAAGGCUAAAACUCAAAGGAAUUGACGGGGGCCCGCACAAGCGGCGGAGCAUGCGGAUUAAUUCGAUGCAACGCGAAGAACCUUACCAAGGCUUGACAUGUUCCAGACCGGGCUAGAGAUAGUCCUUCCCUUCGGGGCUGGUUCACAGGUGGUGCAUGGUUGUCGUCAGCUCGUGUCGUGAGAUGUUGGGUUAAGUCCCGCAACGAGCGCAACCCUCGUUCCAUGUUGCCAGCACGUAGUGGUGGGGACUCAUGGGAGACUGCCGGGGUCAACUCGGAGGAAGGUGGGGAUGACGUCAAAUCAUCAUGCCCCUUAUGUCUUGGGCUUCACGCAUGCUACAAUGGCCGGUACAAUGGGUUGCGAUACUGUGAGGUGGAGCUAAUCCCUAAAAGCCGGUCUCAGUUCGGAUUGGGGUCUGCAACUCGACCCC
rnacentral:rRNA from 1 species